AAUUUGAUUAUGGUCAGAACCUGUUGAGGAUAAGUGAGAGAUGGUUGUUGCUGGGAAAGAAAUGAACCAGUUGUUAUUAUCCAGUGCCCUAUCCAAUCUCUUCCAAAUUAUAGACCCUGGGCCCCUACCAUUUGACCAUGUGUAUCUAGGGCCAUAAAUUCCUAGGUCGACCAGUCCACAGUCUUCAAUCAUACUCAAAAAAUUCAUGCUCUUGUUAAGUUUGUAAGGGAGACCUCCAAUCUUUUCUUCAAUAUAUGUGAUGACAUU
rnacentral:lncRNA from 1 species